AGCUCCAAUAGCGUACGUUAAUGUUGUUGCAGUUAAAAAGCUCGUAGUCGAAUUUCUGGCCGAGGAGGUUCUACAUAGUAGCUACCGAUCUCAGGCCAUCCGCUUGAAAAUAUUGUCGGUGUUUUAUCGCUCCACUUUAGGAUCAGGCAUUUUACUUUGAAGAAAUUAGAGUGUUUCAGGCAGGCUUUCGCUUGAAUACACCAGCAUGGAAUAAUGGAAUAGGACCUCUAUCCUUUACUGGUUAAUGAUAUAGGUAAUGAUUAACAGGGACAGUUGGGGGCAUUCGUACUAAAAAGUCAGAGGUGAAAUUCUUCGAUUUUUUUAAGACGAACUAAUGCGAAGGCAUCUGCCAAGGAUGUUUUCA
rnacentral:rRNA from 1 species